UUCUGGCUCAGGACGACGCUGGCGGCGUGCCUAAUACAUGCAAGUCGAACGGUCUUUUCUAUGGAAGCUUGCUUCCACUGAGAAGAUAGUGGCGAACGGGUGAGUAACACGUGGGGUAACCUGCCCAUAAGAGGGGGAUAACAUCCGGAAACGGGUGCUAAUACCGCAUAGUUUCUUGAUCGCAUGAUCGGGAAAGGAAAGACGGCCUUUGUGCUGUCGCUUAUGGAUGGACCCGCGGCGUAUUAGUUAGUUGGUGAGGUAACGGCUCACCAAGACGAUGAUACGUAGCCGACCUGAGAGGGUGAUCGGCCACAUUGGGACUGAGACACGGCCCAAACUCCUACGGGAGGCAGCAGUAGGGAAUCUUCCGCAAUGGACGAAAGUCUGACGGAGCAACGCCGCGUGAGUGAAGAAAGGUUUUCGGAUCGUAAAACUCUGUUGUCAGAGAAGAACAAGUUGGAGAGUAACUGCUCCAGCCUUGACGGUAUCUGACCAGAAAGCCACGGCUAACUACGUGCCAGCCGCUGC
rnacentral:rRNA from 1 species